ensembl:lncRNA
CAUCACUCAAAACGAGGUCCUCCAUCACAAUGCCACACUGGGUCUGUACAACACCGGCCAUAUGCUCACUUUUCUGGAGGCAAUUUACACAAUGUUUGUCCCUGAUCCAGAUCAGGAGCCUGAUAGAUUUGUGGUUUUAUGGGACAAUGUUAGUUUUCACCGGGCUGUUCUGGUCCAAAACUGGUUUGCCACCCAUCCACAAUGUGUAGUUUUGUACCUACCCCCAUAUUCACCUUUUCUAAAUCCCAUAGAGGAAUUCUUCUCAGCCUGGUGCUGGAAAGUGUAUGAUCGCCAACCCUAUGCCCGCAUGCCGCUUCUCCAGGCAAUGGAGGACGCAUGUGGGGACAUAGAGGUUGCCUCUGUCCAAGGCUGGAUACCCCAUGCUAGGAGAUACUUCCCUCCAUGUGGGGACAUAGAGGUUGUCUCUGUCCAAGGUUGGAUACACCAUGCUAGGAGAUACUUCCCUCCAUGUGGGGACAUAGAGGUUGCCUCUGUCCAAGGUUGGAUACACCAUGCUAGGAGAUACUUCCCUCCAUGUGGGGACAUAGAGGUUGUCUCUGUCCAAGGAUGGAUACACCAUGCUAGGAGAUACUUCCCUCCAUGUUUGGCAAGACAAAACGUAUCUUGUGAUGUGGAUGAAGUAUUGUGGCCAGACCCAGGCCGUAGAAGAUAUGUAGCGUAGCUUAGCUUAGCCCUCCAAUUCCUGGACUGACCCCCUGGGACGCCACACACACAAUUGUGUUCUUUACUGUAUUCUAAAGAAUAUACUUUUGGUUUACAUAUGUUUAUGGUGUUGUUGUAUGCUGC